AGCAGCCGCGGUAAUUCCAGCUCCAAUAGCGUAUAUUAAAGUUGUUGCAGUUAAAAAGCUCGUAGUUGAAUUUUGGAUUCUUCCAAUUGGUCCAUCUUUUAGAUGAGUACUGGUUGUGUGAGGUCUAUCCGCCUGGUGAUACGUAAUGUCCUUUAUUGGAUGUUGCGGGUAGUCAGGACCUUUACCUUGAAAAAAUUAGAGUGUUUAAAGCAGGCUUAUGCCGGAAUACAUUAGCAUGGAAUAAUAGAAUAGGACGAAGUUGUUUUAUUUUGUUGGUUUCUAGGACAACCGUAAUGAUUAAUAGGGAUAGUUGGGGGCAUUAGUAUUCAAUUGUCAGAGGUGAAAUUCUUGGAUUUAUUGAAGACUAACUACUGCGAAAGCAUUUGCCAAGGAUGUUUUCAUUAAUCAAGAACGAAAGUUAGGGGAUCGAAGACGAUCAGAUACCGUCGUAGUCUUAACCAUAAACUAUGCCGACUAGGGAUCGGGCGAUGUUGUUUCCAUGACUCGCUCGGCACCUUAU
rnacentral:misc_RNA from 1 species